CACGGGGGGAGCAAGCGUUGUUCGGAAUCACUGGGCGUAAAGGGCGUGUAGGCGGUCAAGUAAGUGGAAUGUGAAAUGCCCCGGCUCACCCGGGGAUCUGCAUCCCAAACUGCUUGGCUUGAGUAUGGGAGAGGAUGAGGGAAUUCCUGGUGUAGCGGUGAAAUGCGUAGAUAUCUGGAGGAACACCGGUGGCGAAGGCGCCCACCUGGCCUGCUACUGACGCUGAAGCUCGAAAGCUAGGGGAGCAAACGGG
rnacentral:rRNA from 1 species